UCUUUGGCACAGGUGGGAAGCCUCUGGAGCACGCCUCAUCCAAGGCACCCUCAGGCUCCCUCCUGUGUUCUUUCCCCAGCCUCUCCCUCCCUUACAGGUGCAGUGGAUUCUGCUGUACAGAACAGGGAGCACUGGAUCUUAGGAAGCCUGCAAAGGGAGGACACAGGACAGUGACAUCACAGAAUACCCCUCCCAUCAGGAAAAGCAAGGCUGAGAACUCAGCUCCUCCCCAGGAGGACUGAGCCCUGAGCACAGACACAGUGUUGCCUUCCCCUUCAUGCCAUGGGCUCCAGGCUACUCUGUUGGGUGCUGCUUUGUCUCCCAGUAGCAGGCCUGGGAGAGGCUGGAGUCACACAAACUCCAAGACACCUGAUCAAAAUGAGAGGACAGCAAGUGACACUGAGGUGCUCCCCUAUCUCUGGGCAUAGCAGUGUGUACUGGUACCAACAGGCCCCAGGACAGGGCCCUCAGUUCCUCUUCCAAUAUUACAAUGAGAUACAGAAUGAAAAAGGAAACUUCCCUGCUCGAUUCUCAGGGCGCCAGUUCUCUAACUAUAGCUCUGAGAUGAAUGUGAACGCCUUGGAGCUGGGGGACUCGGCCCUUUAUCUUUGUGCCAGCAGCUUGGCACAGCCCUACAAAGCCAACCACAUUCUGUGCAGAAACCUCCCUAGCCCAAUGUGGAGCAACCUCAGCCCUGACAUAUCUGUGAGAACCUAGGGACUGCAGGGGGAAAGACAGGUAAUUUAGGAUGCUAGGACCCACAGCCUGGGGCUUUCUGCUACUCAGGGCUGGGGGAAACAAGGCCAAGAGGGGCUGCUCAGAGGAUGAUGCUGCUUCCGUAGGUUCACCGCAGAAUUACCUUCUCUGCUUGAUACUGUAAGCUACAGGGUAGAGGACAUGUUCAUAGUAUAACAGCUGGCACUCUCUUUUAGAGGGCAGGGAAUUCCAUUUUGGGGUCAAGAUUGUUGGUAAUAGUACAGUGUUGAAGGUAAAAUCACUGGGGUUUGCUUUGUAUAAUUUAGGGUGAAGAAAUGGAGAUUUGGGAAAAAGUGAAGGAGAGAGAACAAGAUUUAAGAUUUUUGAAAGUAGAGUUAGGGCAGAAGGUGAUAAGAAGUGGUGUUUUGUGUACCAGAAGCUCUCUUCUCACCCUUCCCCAAAUUUUCAAUAUCUAGAAAAUAUAAAGGAAGCACUU